rnacentral:lncRNA from 1 species
GUAUCUCAUGUCCCUUACCCCCCAGAAACCCUAGAACUUGCCGCCCCUGAAACUUCGCCAUCUCCGCCGGCGGAGACUCCACACACCACUCCGUUCCACCCAAACUUUACACCACAGUUUCUCCGUUUCCUCCUCAUCUCAAAUCCCCACAUAAUUUCCCUCAAAUCUCACUCAAAUCUCUUGAAUCUUGAUCAGAAACUCCAAACCCUAGCAUCGCCACAGUUCCUCCAGUGGCGACAAUCCCAAUCAACCCCAAAACACACCCUUGAACCCUCACCACCUCUUCUCCACUAAUCUGUGUUCAAUUGCUCUGAAAAAUCCCCCAUAAGUUUUUGAAUUUUAGGUUCAAGGUCCUGAACCCUGUUGCAUAAAGAUUGUUUGAGGAGUUAUUGCUCGUCCCUCGAUAAUUUUAUCUAAUUGCACGUAUUAAGAGCAAGUGGGUGAUAUUUUUGAAGGCGAACAUCAAAGGUUUGAUGUGUGUUGUUGAUUCGGUCCAAAUAGGUAAGCAUUUUGCACUUCUUUUAAGUUUUCUGUCAAGUUUGACUCAUUUUCUUCCUCGCCUCACUCUUUUGAUUUGAAGUUCAUGCUCAAAUUUUAGACAUGAGUUAGUUUUUGUGCCUGUUUUCUCCUGUUAAAUCUUGACCUUUCCAUUCUAUUUUUAAUGGUUAAUAAAAUAAGUGUUUUGGUUGGUUUUAUUUAGAUUAAAUCACUAUUUAGCUUAGUAUUGAUAGGUUUUAUGAUAUAGUAUUCUUAUUUAAAUGUUGGUGUGAUUGCUUGAAUCUUCGAUUCAUGUUUUAAUUUGUUUCCAGUGGCUUUUCGACAUUUUCUUUAAGAAUUGAUUCGUAGUUUGAUUUGUUAGAUGCCCUCUGUGUUUAGGCGAUCCUAUUUGUCACAUUCUCAAACCUAGGGGAGAUAAGUGAAUAAUUAGGAACUUUAAGGAUUCUCAAAGGGAAAGGCAUGGAUAGUAAUAUUUUGUUCAGCAAAGGGCAAUUUGGGGACUUCAUAUUCAGAGGAGAUCGAUUAUGUUAGUUAGAAGUUUCUAGGGGAUAGGAUAAACGUGAGUUUGUUAGGAGGGGUGAUUUUUAAUUCUUUGGAGGGGUAAGAGGGUAAAAAUAAUUUGCUUUGAGAGGGAUGAAAUGGGAAAUUACUAUUUAGGAUAAGGUUGCCUUAAAUAUCCCUAUAUAAUGACCCUUUUUCUCUUCAUUCAGGCAGAUUUUUGAACACUCUGAAAUCUGAGAGAGAAUUCCAGAAAAUACAAAAACAACUCCAGAAAAUUCUAUUGUUACAUUGACAAUUUCAGUUUUCCUUUCGGAAAAAACAAAGGUCCUUAUUGUGAUACUCAGAAUGAAUUGAUAUUUUAUUGUUGGUGCUUCUAAUUCAAGCUGUUUGGGAUUAAAUUUUCACUGAUUUUUGUUGGAUUAAGUUCCUAGGGUUUAAUCACUGGAACUUGUGGUGUUGGUUUGUUGAUUACUAUUCUAUUCUAGUCCCUCGCUUCUCUUCCUUUUUGUGCAAUUUUCAGGUAUUUUUCAGCUCUAUGGAUGUCACUUGAAGUGUAAUUUGAAGCAGAAAUUGGAAACAUGAAAUAGAAAUGUGAUUGUUUGUUUGACUUCUAUUUUGUUAUUCUUUCAAUUUUAUGACUAGAUUAUUAUAGCCUAGCAUAAGUUGUUCCUGUUACUGUAGUACAGUACUUGAAAUCAGUGUUAGGAUCGUUUCUUGUGUGUCGUAUCUUCAAGUGCAUUUUUGAAUUUGAGUCUGUAUUGGUUAGUAAGUCAGAUAUAUAUAUUUUCUUUUGAUAUGUGUGAGUAGCCUUUUAGCUUGGCAGGGGCUUUAUCAUUUUAAAUUGUUAGUUUGAUAACUGGACGUUUGAAUAGAUUAAAUUUGAGCAUGUGAUAAAAGCUGAAGUCAUGUAUUUAUUUUCUUCUGUGAUACAGUUUAUGUUCGGCAAUGGUUGAUGGUAAAAGGUGGAUCCAAUUUGCAGAUUGUUAAUGGUUUAUAUUGAUUUAUGAUCACGCAUGUGUAGUUAUGAUUUGGUAAUAAAUUCUGAAUAAAAAAAGUAGAUUGGUAACCUAGUAUGCUUGAUCAAGAAUUCACCGCCUAAUUUUUUUUAAUUGGCUUUAAAAUAUUUUUUCAAAGUUUAAGAAUUUGAAUGUUUGAGUGCC